rnacentral:rRNA from 1 species
AGAGUUUGAUCCUGGCUCAGGAUGAACGCUGGCGGCGUGCCUAACACAUGCAAGUCGAGCGAUCUUCUUCGGAAGAGAGCGGCGGACGGGUGAGUAACGCGUGGGUAACCUGCCUCAUACACAUGGAUAACAUACCGAAAGGUAUGCUAAUACAAGAUGAUAUAAGAGAUUCGCAUGGAUUUCUUAUCAAAGCUCCGGCGGUAUGAGAUGGACCCGCGUCUGAUUAGCUAGUUGGUAAGGUAACGGCUUACCAAGGCGACGAUCAGUAGCCGACCUGAGAGGGUGAUCGGCCACAUUGGAACUGAGACACGGUCCAAACUCCUACGGGAGGCAGCAGUGGGGAAUAUUGCACAAUGGGCGAAAGCCUGAUGCAGCAACGCCGCGUGAGCGAUGAAGGCCUUCGGGUCGUAAAGCUCUGUCCUCAAGGAAGAUAAUGACGGUACUUGAGGAGGAAGCCCCGGCUAACUACGUGCCAGCAGCCGCGGUAAUACGUAGGGGGCUAGCGUUAUCCGGAUUUACUGGGCGUAAAGGGUGCGUAGGUGGUUUCUUAAGUCAGGAGUGAAAGGCUACGGCUCAACCGUAGUAAGCUCUUGAAACUGGGAAACUUGAGUGCAGGAGAGGAAAGUGGAAUUCCUAGUGUAGCGGUGAAAUGCGUAGAUAUUAGGAGGAACACCAGUAGCGAAGGCGGCUUUCUGGACUGUAACUGACACUGAGGCACGAAAGCGUGGGGAGCAAACAGGAUUAGAUACCCUGGUAGUCCACGCCGCAAACGAUGAGUACUAUGUGUCGGGGGUUACCCCCCUCGGUGCCGCAGCUAACGCAUUAAGUACUCCGCCUGGGGAGUACGCUCGCAAGAGUGAAACUCAAAGGAAUUGACGG